UGCCCAUAAGACUGGGAUAACUCCGGGAAACCGGGGCUAAUACCGGAUAACAUUUUGAACCGCAUGGUUCGAAAUUGAAAGGUGGCUUCGGCUGCCACUUAUGGAUGGACCCGCGUCGCAUUAGCUAGUUGGUGAGGUAACGGCUCACCAAGGCAAUGAUGCGUAGCCGACCUGAGAGGGUGAUCGGCCACACUGGGACUGAGACACGGCCCAGACUCCUACGGGAGGCAGCAGUAGGG
rnacentral:rRNA from 1 species